rnacentral:lncRNA from 1 species
CCAAACCGUGCAGUGCUUUUUCCAUCUGUAAGUAUUUGUCAUGCACUGAGGCUGUAACUUGCUGUUUAAGGUGUGAUAGCAAAACUCACAUGAAUUUCCUUUUCCUUCAUAAUUUCACACAAGAGUCAUUCUUAACCAUGGAUCUUAGCAACCUCAUCCUGAUUUCAUUUCCUUUCCUCAUCACUUUUUAACUUAAAGCACUUUAUGGCCUCUCAGCAUCAUUGCUGCUUUUUUAAUUGCUACAUCAUAACUACCUAAUAGAUUUAUUGUGAUAUAUGUGUACAUGCACAUCGCAUAAUUUGGUGUAUUUUCCUCUACUUUUCUUUCCCUUCCUUUUCCCUAGUCCCCAUCCUCUACUCUAAUGGUCUUCCUCUUAUUUGCAUGAGAUCCUGUCUUCGUUCCCUUUUUUCUUUUUUCUCUCUAGUUUCCACAUAGAAGAGAAAACAUGACCCCUGACUUUCUGAGUUUUGACUCAUUUCAUUAGCUCCAGUUUCAUCCAUUUUCCUGCAAAAGACGUAAUUUUGUUCUUUAUGACUGAGUAGAAUGCCGUUGUGUGUAUAUAUCAGACAUUCAUUAUUCAUUCAUCUGUUGAGGCACAUCUACGCUGGUUCUAUAACUUGGCUAUUAUGAAUUAUGCUGCUAUAAAUGUGGGUACGCAUAUAUCACUAUAGUAAGCAGAAUCAUUACUCUUAAGCUUUGGGGCUACUAUUAAACAAAAUAAGGGUGACUUUUAAAGUCAUUGUUUAUUUCUGGAAUUUUCCAUUUAAUAUUUUCAGAAGGCUGGUAACUGAAACCACAGAAAUUGAAAACUGCUGAUGGUGGGGAGUGGACACUACAGCAAAAAUAAUGGGAUGUCACUUCCAUGAUAAGAUUAUAAAGAAUGGCUUCUUGUUGCUAGCUGUCUUUGAAGAGAUACAUGUGGCAAGAAGCUGAGGGAAACCUCUAGCCAACAGCUAAUGAGGACAGAGGCCCACAGUCCGGUUUCCACAAGGAACUGAAUCUUUCCAACCAUUGUCUGAGAGCUUGGAAUCAGAUCUUCCCCAAGUCCAGCUGUCGAUGGACCUGCACCCCUGGCUGACAGAUUGAUUGUAGCCUUGUAGGCCCAUAGGCAACUAGCUAAGCCAUGUUUAGACUUCUGACCCAGAGAAAUAGCUAUAAUGUGGUUUUAAGCUACUACAUUUUGGGAUAAUUAUUAUCCAGCAAUGGGUAAGUAAAUUGGGCUUUGGAAAAUAAAGUCAUUUCUAUAACUUUGUGACUUCAUCAGUAAUACUGGGGCCACAGUAUUGAGCAUAUUCUCUUCUCCUUCUCUUUCCUUCCCCCCAUCCCCUUUCCUCUUCCUCCCUCUCGCCUCAGCAGUACUGAGAAUUGAGCCCAGGGAUGCUCUACCACUGAGCUACAUCCCCACCCUUUUUAUUUUGAGACAGGUUCUCACUAAGUUCCCAGGCGAUCCUUGAACUUGUGAUUCUUCUGUUUCAUUCUCUAGAAUUACAGGUGGAGUGUGUUCUAAAUACCAUUUUUUUGGUGGGGGGAGUGGUGCUAGGUAUUGAGUCCCACAAACUGGUAUAUGCUGAGCAUGUGCUGUACCACUGAGCUAUACUCUGAACCCCUUUAAAUAUACUUAGUACACUAUCUCGUAUACCUGGUAAAAGAAGACAUAUAAAGAGUAUACUGAACUCCCAUAUUUCCUUCAGUUUUGCUUAUUUUUUUCAAGAUAGAUUCUACUCCUCAAAUUAUUUUGAAGCAAAUCCCAAAUAGUCUAUUAGCCCACUAUCAGCUUUGUAUUUAAGCAUUUUCUAAAAUAUACAAACCAAACACAAUGCCAUGAUCAUGCCUAAAUAAGCUUUUAAACCACACUCAAUACCUGAUUAGUAUUCAGAUUUUCAAAAUUUGUAUAGAUACCUCUGUAUACACUUAGAGUCAGAAUUCAGAAGAAGUUUACAUAUGGUAACUGGUUGAUAGCUUCUUAAAUCUUUUUAAAUGUAGGCCACACAGAGAACAGGGUGUGGCCACACCUGUAAUCCCAGUUGGGGAGUCUGAGGCAAAUUCGAGGCUAGCCUCACCAAUUUGAAACUCAAAAUGAAAAGAGGACUGGGGAUGUAACUCAGUAACCCCGGGUUCAAUCCCCAGUACAAUAAAAAUAAAAUAAAAAAGUUCUAGGCCACUCCUCAGUUACAUUCUGUCCCCCCUGCUUUCUUUGUUAGUUUAUUCCUUGUUAAGAUAUGAUGGUCUGAUCCUAUGC